GACCGACUGGCCCAGUGGUUAAGGCGCUCGUCUUACAAUCUUAUGUUCACGAGAGAUCGCAGGUUCGAACCCUGCGUCGGUCA
rnacentral:tRNA from 1 species